rnacentral:pre_miRNA from 17 species
GUAAUUCUUCCUACUGAAGUCUUUAUGGACUUAAUGCUAAUUGUGAUAGGGGUUUUGAGUUCUGAUGAGCUCCUACAUAUUAGCAUUAGCUCUGUGAUGUGACUGUGGUCGACAGGUGUUU